UUUAUGUCAACCCGAUUUCACAUGUAUAUAUCAUGAAUAUGUGGUCCACCCAAAUCUCUCUUAAAUCAUGAGGACAAGAAAAAAGAGAAAUUACAAUAUAUAUAAAAAGGUAAGAAAAGAAAGAAAAAAAGAUGCGUGUGACUAGAGGGUGGGGGAGUGGGAUGGGACGGGAGUCGUGGAGCUCACGUCAGGGGGUGUUUGGUUCUUUAGAACCUCCUAAAAUUCAUGUCGCAUCGAAUGUUUAGAUAAUAAUUAGGUGUAUUAAAUAUAGAUUAAUUAUAAAACCAAUUGCAGAGAUGGAGGCUAAUUUGUGAGACGAAUCUAUUAAGCCUAAUUACUCCAUGAUUCGACAAUGUGAUGCUACAGUAAACAUGUGUAAUGAUAGAUUAAUUAGGCUUAAUAGAUUCAUCUCGUGAAUUAGUCUCCAUCUGUGUAAUUAUAGUUUUAUAAUUAGUUCAUAUUUAGUUCUCCUGAUUAGCUUUCGUAUAUUCGAUGUGACAUGAAUUUUAAUCCGGACAAAGAUCUAAACACCCCUUAGGCAUGUACCGGCCUGAUGCAGGAUUGCAAGCCAUCAUCAGCAAUGAUUAUAUUACUGAAGCACUAAAAGUUUCAGAUAGGUAGGCACUGAAUCAUUUGCAUCUUUUGUCAAGCAACAUGGUCUAAACUUCAUAGAUUGUCUCUCCACCGCCAUCGGAUACCACCAAUAUUGUUUAGCUGUCAUUUAGUAAAUAUUCGAUCUUCCCCUCAAAUUCCCUUCGCAGGAAAUUCAAUUAGUUACAUGUAUUUGAGUUCCUCUCUAGUCAUUUUCGUGCACCCGAAUUUUUUAAAAGAAAUUGACAAAACAUAUCACAAGAAGCAUGUGCACACAUGCCCAAACAACAGUUCUCCCGGGCCUGGUGCGCGUCUAAAUAAAGCCGGGAACUCAUCAGCCAUCCUUAUCAAGCCAUCCAACACCC
rnacentral:lncRNA from 1 species